rnacentral:rRNA from 1 species
UACGUAGGGUGCGAGCGUUGUCCGGAAUUAUUGGGCGUAAAGAGCUCGUAGGCGGUCUGUCGCGUCGAAUGUGAAAACCCGGGGCUCAACUCCGGGCUUGCAUUCGAUACGGGCAGGCUAGAGUUCGGUAGGGGAGUCUGGAAUUCCUGGUGUAGCGGUGAAAUGCGCAGAUAUCAGGAGGAACACCAAUGGCGAAGGCAGCACUCUGGGACGGUACUGACGCUGAGACGCGAAAGCGUGGGGAGCAAACAGG